rnacentral:rRNA from 1 species
UACGUAGGGGGCAAGCGUUGUCCGGAUUUAUUGGGCGUAAAGAGCGUGUAGGCGGCCAAACAGGUCAGCUGUGAAAACUCGAGGCUCAACCUCGAGAGGUCGGUGGAAACCGCAUGGCUAGAGUCCGGAAGAGGAGAGUGGAAUUCCCGGUGUAGCGGUGAAAUGCGCAGAUAUCGGGAAGAACACCCGUGGCGAAGGCGGCUCUCUGGAACGCAACUGACGCUGAGACGCGAAAGCGUGGGGAGCAAACAGGG